rnacentral:rRNA from 1 species
CCUACGGGUAGCUGCAGUGAGGAAUAUUGGUCAAUGGGCGCAAGCCCGAACCAGCCAUGCCGCGUGCAGGAUGACGGCCCUAUGGGUUGUAAACUGCUUUUGUACAGGAGUAAAGUCAGAUACGCGUACCUUUCUGGAAGUCUUUUACGAAUAAGGAUCGGCUAACUCCGUGCCAGCAGCCGCGGUAAUACGGAGGAUUCAAGCGUUAUCCGGAUUUAUUGGGUUUAAAGGGUGCGUAGGCGGGCUGAUAAGUCAGAGGUGAAAGUUUGCGGCGCAACUUUAGAAUUGCCUUUGAUACUGGCCGGCUAGAGAACAGUUGCGGUAGGCGGAAUGUAUGGUGUAGCGGUGAAAUGCUUAGAGAUCAUAAAGAACACCGAUUGCGAAGGCAGCCUACCAAGGCAUUUCUGACGCUGAAGCACGAAAGCGCGGGGAUCAAACAGGAUUAGAUACCCGUGUAGUC